GGGCUGUUGAAAUGAGGAACUUUCUCAUGUCUCUUCUCUGACUAGUAAUUUCUGGAGAGAAAUAAUAAUUUCUGAUCAAAGCCC